GGGAAGGUUGCUCAGUGGUAGAGUGCUUGCUUUGCAUGCAUGAGGCCCUGGGUUCAAUUCCUCAGCACCA
rnacentral:tRNA from 1 species